CACCAACCCGGCAUGGGGGUCCCCGAACCACCAACCCGGCAUGGGGGUCCCCGAACCACAACAUGCACGGGGGUCCCCGAACCACCAACCCGGCAUGGGGGUCCCCGAACCACCAACCCGGCAUGGGGGUCCCCGAACCACCAACCCGGCAUGGGGGUCCCCGAACCACCAACCCGGCAUGGGGGUCCCCGAACCACCAACCCGGCAUGGGGGUCCCCGAACCACAACAUGCACAGGGCUCCCUGAACCACAAAUCCACAUGGGGUCACCCCCACAACACACACGGGGGUCCCUGAACCACCAACCCGGCAUGGGGGUCCCCGAACCACCAACCCGGCAUGGGGGUCCCCGAACCACCAACCCGGCAUGGGGGUCCCCGAACCACCAACCCGGCAUGGGGGUCCCCGAACCACCAACCCGGCAUGGGGGUCCCCGAACCACCAACCCGGCAUGGGGGUCCCCGAACCACAACAUGCACAGGGCUCCCUGAACCACAAAUCCACAUGGGGUCACCCCCACAACACACACGGGGGUCCCUGAACCACCAACCCGGCAUGGGGGUCCCCGAACCACCAACCCGGCAUGGGGGUCCCCGAACCACAAACUCACAGGGGGUCACCCCCACAACACACACGGGGGUCUCUGAACCACAAACCCACAGGGGGUCACCCCCACAACAUGCACGGGGGUCCCCGAACCACAAACUCACAGGGGGUCACCCCCACAACACGCACAGGGGGGUCCCUGAACCACCAACCCGGCAUGGGGGUCCCCGAACCACAACAUGCACAGGGCUCCCUGAAUCACAAACGCACAGGGGGUAACCCCCACAACACGCACGGGGAUCCCCGAACCACCAACCCGGCACGGGGGUUCCUUCUCGGGUACUCAGCCCUCCUCGCUGUAACUUCCACCCGGCAAAGUCCUCUCCCAAGGACCCUGGACUUGGUCAUUCCGCUCACUUUGGACAAAUCAGCAAGCACAAAGGACCACAGAAAUUCGAUGCAGGAGGCCAUCACAUCAGGGGACGCAUGUGUCCAGACGCCGAAGAGAAGGCAACGCUCCGCACCUCGGCAUCACCCUGGACGGACCGAGCACCGGGCCGGGCACACGCGAGUCAGAUCCGCUCUGCCGCACGAGCCCUGGGCGUGCGAGUCCUCACAGCUGGUCCCUUCUCUCGACCACAAAAUGAGUCAUUUGCACCGUGGCUGUCUGAGUUCUAAAGGAGAGAAGGCGGCCGAGUAUCGAAGCUGCUUUUAA
rnacentral:lncRNA from 1 species